CAAAGGGGUCUCUAAACAAGAGGGAAAGGCCAUCUGGACACAUAAAGCCUUCCAAUUGCUCUGCAGUCAUUUCUAGGAUGUGUGGCUAAGGUGGGGCUGCCAGACUUUUAUGGCCUUCUUAUGGGUUGGUUGUUAUGUAGGGGUGGUAGUUAAAAUCAAAUGCAGCCUUAUUUGCUGAGACUCGGUGAUGGGGAACUACAUAUUAACCACUCUUAGACAAGACUGAACAUUUCUCCCCUGCCGCUUUAAUACUGUAACCAUGACACCAGUUAGAUUUAAAAAAAAAAAAGAAAAGAAACAUAUUUAGCUACUGUACUAAUGAUCAGCUUAUGAAAAAGUUCAGAUCCCACUCAGGUAUCUAAAUGAAGUGAUCAUAGCUCCAAAGGUGUCAGCACACAGUUGCUCCUGUGUUGAUAGGACAAUAUCUCCCACUGACUCAGUGAAACUAUUGUAAAUAUUUGUUCACAUUUUUGUGUCCAUGAAAACUGGAAUUUCAGACAUUCCAGUAUUCAUUUAUCCCUUCUACUGACUACCUCCAUGCACAAGUGCUUUCUAGUGUCUGGGCUCUGCUCCUCUCAUCUCUGUGGAAGGUCACCAGGAUGGAGGGAUCCGGGUGGUUUGUCGAUCAGCUGGCUGGUACCCAGAGCCUGAGGUGCCGCGGAAAGAUUUCAAUGGGCAACGUUUACCAUCACUCUCU